AUUUAUAAACAGAUGUUUAAACGGUAUAUUGAUUUUAAAAAGAUUAAACAAAAACGGAAACAAAUCUCGCUUUAUUUUAAAACUUGGCCACGUACGUUUGUUUUAAAAAUGUUGUGAGAGCGUCUUACAGUAAGUCGUAUUCUUUGAAACAUUAUGGAUCAAUACGGCUAAAGAAUGAGAAUAAAAGGAGCCAAUAGAAAGAAAAAGGAAUAUUUUAAGACGAAAAGACAUACAAUUUAACCAUAUUUACAAGCACGCAAAAAUGGGUAAUUCCCAUUACAAAUGUGGAUGGGAAUUUUAGAGUAAUCAAUAAUAGUGAUAAAUUUCGAAGUUUUGAUUCAAAUUAAUAAUACAGUAAGAUAAACUCUCAUUCCCGAAUUUCCCUUUCGCUAUGUUUAGCAUCAUUACAACGCAGUAAAACGCUGGUUUUCCCAUUAAUGAUUUAUAAACAUAAAUAGCCUGUAUCAGAAGACUGAGUGCGCUCACUGUAUAAAUAAACUCAGGAGAGAGUAAUCGCUGAACAGGGAGUGUGAUGCUAGAGAGACGAGCAGAGCAAACUCUAUUUGAAUAAAGAUUUAAACUUCUGUCUAAAAGAAUUUUGGGUUGCGUUUAUAACAUACUUCAAAAGCACCAGGACAAACCGAUUGACCGACAUAUAUCGCUUCGAAGAACGACAGAGCCAGUGGAACAUAAUUUUAAUUAGACACUAUCAUUAAUAAAUCAUAAUGAGUUGGGGCAGUAGCUGGGGGAGCAAUGGCUGGUCAAACAGCAUUUCCAAGGGCGGGAAUAACAAUCCGGACCCCGAGGGACAGCAUAACUCCUCUUGUAUCGCCGGAAGUGGUGGCUGGGGCCGCAACGGCUGGGGAAGCAGCUACUACGAUGAGAGCUGUUCCGGAUGUCGCCACGAUAGGUCUGCGGGCUCGUUCGGGAACAACAACAAGGCGAAGGGUGUGUUUAAGUUGCUGGCCGUCGUCGGCGGAGUUAAGCUGGCCAAGAAAAGUCUCUGGGACUAGUUGAUGUCCUUGUGUCGAUGACGCAAACUAUAAGGCCGGGACAUUGUGCAUCUCCAGCUGAAGUUUUCAAUAAUCAUAGGCUAACUCUUUGCAUAAUAUAGUGCAUUUUGUUGUUAAUAGUCAAUUGACAAUGAGUUGACAGUAAUUUCAUUACGUAUAUUGAGAAAUAGGCCCAUAAACAAUAUCGCUACACUUGGAGUUAUUUCAAUGUAAGUUGUAAAAAACUAUUUAAUAUAAACUGUGCAAUGAUGUCAAAUGCUUAUCUGCAAUGACAUACUAUUUCAUAUUUGUUAUCAUUCCCAUUUGUAUAUAUUUGCAAUGUAAGUACUUAAAUGAAAGUAGUAGAAUUAUUAGCUUUUGCUCCAUAACCAUAACCUUCAUCACUUUAACAUUAUUUUGGCAAUGUUAAACUAGUGUUUACAUAGUAUUCCCUAGUAUUUAAUUUGUCUUCAUAUCGCUAUGAGCAAGUGUAAUCGCUCACACUUUAAUAGAAAUGUUUUUCGAUUCUUUGAAACGUAUUCUGUUAUUGCUUUAUGUAUGUUACUGACUUUCAAACUCAGUAAUUUUGUUAUUUGUUAUACUUUAGUAAUAAAACAGAAAAUCUACA